GCCAGUGUGGACUAAUGGUUGGAGCAUUGGACUACAAAUCUGUAGGCCAAGGUUUGAAUCCCUGCUUGGCCA